rfam:Beta vulgaris subsp. vulgaris chromosome 7, whole genome shotgun sequence.
GCUUCUGAUGAUGAUGAAAGAUAUAACUUUCGUUCUUCUGAGAAUUUCAUGCGGAAACGUUAUGGAGACCUGAACUGAAGAAGC